AUCCAACUGACGAGUCUCAAAUGGGACGAAACACGCGUCCUGGAU
rnacentral:hammerhead_ribozyme from 1 species